CUAAGUCACCUUUCCCUUUUCUUACCGAGCUCUCUUUCUUUUUCCCUCUGUCGACGCCGAUAAGGCCAACUCCGGCCAUUGUCUUCUUCUAAUCAUAACCUACCCAAUCUCACAGUCCAACAACAACUCCUACCUCCCCUAUCAUUACCAGCCAUGGAGUCUCUAUACCCGGCGAUUUCUCGUUAGCCGCUCGACUCUUGGAAAUAAAGGAGAGUAAAAACUAAAAGUAUGGGCAGCCACCGAGGCUAGGAGGCUGAGUCUGCAACAUCACCGGAGCUAGAGGCCUAUGGUGACUCAGAUCCCUAAGCUCACUUUCAAAAUUAGACACCAUCGCCGCUCCUCCACCAUAGCUUCGCAGCUCACGACGGCUAGGGUUUCAGAAAACGAUUUUGAUUUUGACUUUGGUCAAUAUGGGGAGUCUCAUAAAUCUUUAAAGCUUGGAAAUUACCGAGAUAGAAGGAAUAAAGGUUACUGAUUUGAAUAUAAUUAAAAACAGAAAAGGUGACUGAAGGAGUUGCAUGUAGUGGAAUGCAGAAGAAAGCUUGCAUUUUGAUGUGGAUAAGAAGAUUUGGGGUAUGGUUACCAGAAUAAGCUUGCUAUAGUACUAACAAGAAGAAAGAAUGGCUAAGACCACUGCUUGAGUUCUCCAGGUAUAUUGAGGCCAACAAAGCUCGACUUUCCCAAUCUGGUAGCGUCUCUGAGGCUUAUGUUGCUCAUGUAGUUCUAUUGUAUGUUUUUUUUUAAAACAUACUUAAAUUGCUACACCCCUCCAUGCCGUUUGUAACUGAGGAACUCUGGCAGGUACUUUGUGUCAUGAAAGAUGAUAUUGAAUCUUCUCUGAGAAUGCAACUGAUGGUCGAGAGUGGGCUGAGUAUCUACAUGAAUUCUUGAAGAAAGACCAACAUAGUAAUGC